rnacentral:rRNA from 1 species
UGGGGAAUAUUGCGCAAUGGGCGAAAGCCUGACGCAGCGACGCCGCGUGAGCGAUGAAGGCCUUCGGGUUGUAAAGCUCUGUGGGGAGAGGCGAAUAAGCCAACGUGAAUAUCGUUGGUGAUGACGGUAUCUCCUUAGCAAGCACCGGCUAACUCUGUGCCAGCAGCCGCGGUAAUACAGAGGGUGCAAACGUUGUUCGGAAUUACUGGGCGUAAAGCGUGUGUAGGCGGUCUCGUAAGUCGGGCGUGAAAGCCCCGGGCUCAACCCGGGAAGUGCACUCGAUACUGCGAGACUUGAGUUUCGGAGAGGUUGGUAGAAUUCUUGGUGUAGAGGUGAAAUUCGUAGAUAUCAAGAGGAAUACCGGUGGCGAAGGCGGCCAACUGGACGAAAACUGACGCUG